CAGCCGCCACGGUAAUACGUAGGUGGCAAGCGUUGUCCGGAAUUAUUGGGCGUAAAGGGCUCGCAGGCGGUUUCUUAAGUCUGAUGUGAAAGCCCCCGGCUCAACCGGGGAGGGUCAUUGGAAACUGGGAAACUUGAGUGCAGAAGAGGAGAGUGGAAUUCCACGUGUAGCGGUGAAAUGCGUAGAGAUGUGGAGGAACACCAGUGGCGAAGGCGACUCUCUGUCUGUAACUGACGCUGAGGAGCGAAAGCGUGGGGAGCGAACAGGAUUAGAUACCCGCGUAGUCCCUGUCUCUUAUACA
rnacentral:rRNA from 1 species